UGUAGUGUCUCUGAAAAAUGGAUCGCGGGUUGGCUUAACAUCCAAACUUAAUGUAGUAGUUCCCCCAAAUAACCAAACUGCGCUUGCCCUGAUACCACCAACGACAGCUAAGCAAAUAUGGAGCAUCCCUUGGACAGUGACACCAGAAAUUUGGAAAAUUGGCCCGUACAUAAUACAAGAGAUAGGACUACAACAGAUGUCUUUAACCCAUCUUGGUCUCUCAAACGGCUUGAAUUGUUGGUGCAAAUUAAUGCAAAUUAAUGCACUGUUUGUGAACCCUCUGACAUUUGUUGCUCCUUUUGACCAAAAGCAUUUACAAAUCUUGGGUGCUUCCCACCCCUUCAGAGCGGGUCGGCGCACCAUGCCUGGGGGUAUUGCUGUCGCUGGGGCUGUCACAGUGUCCUGACUGCCCCACACACCUGCCUGGCCAUUCCCGGCUUGUCACCACAUCCUGCCUGUGCCACAACAGGAGCCUUCUGGGGAAGUGACAGAGAAGGGGGCCGUGGGACUUUGUGACCCAGCUGCUCUGGGGUGGGAGAGGGGACAGACGAUGUCACCUUGUGCCCCCACAGUGUGGGACAGCUGACACCUCACAUCGGGUGUCUGGAUCUUUUACUGGGGCUACAAUGUUCGCAGAGGUGGUGUGGAGGCUGCUGGCAAAGCCACACCGAUAAGCAGCUGAGCUGGGUAUUCCUGGAUGACCACGGGAGUAAACAACCACACAGAGGUUUCCAACUAUGGUGAAGUCCUGGAGCUCCUUCUCCCUUCAGCUCUUCCAAGUUUUCAUUAGGAGUCUGGCAGCCCACUGGCACAUCAAGAUGCCCAUGGAAUCAGAAACUUGGAUAUUUGUGUGCUGGCUCCUAGCAGACACUGAUGUGCUGGAGCUGACCUGCUGUCUGGUACUAGAGGGAGCUCCAAACUGGAAGCUGUGGCAGCCAGCAUGAGCAAUUGAGGCCAGCUCAGUGACCAGGUUUUUAAGUCCUGGAUGGAAAAAGACCUGACCAGCCUGGUUUGAUCUCAUGACUGCUCCUGCCCUCAACAGAAAGCUGGAUUACAGAUCUCCAGAGGCCUUUCCUAUGUGAAUUUUCCUGUGAUCCUAUGAGUGCCUAUGAUUUGGCAUACACAGAAGGCAACUACUGACAUCGCCAUGACAACAAACUGGGUUUCUGCUGGUGUUGCAGCUUCCUGCAAAGAGAAGAGUGCACACUUCCUUGAGAGAAGUGUGCCAAGAUUUAUAGCACUAGAUUCACUGGAGCUUUGCUUUCGCUCAAAUGAAAGAAUUAAUAGGUUAUCAGCUUGUUGCACAGUUCUUUUCUGCUUCUGUUUCAAUUUUCUUUUUCUUUAAGAUAGUGAAGAAAAAAUUACAUGCAAAAGAAGAUAAUUACAUCCUCCCCCUUGGGGAGACAACCGAAAGGGCUUCAGCAAAUACUCCCAGUGCCAGUGGGAGGCAGCCAGUCAGCAGCCGGGGCCAGCUGCAUGUGGUUCAGCACAGCCAGCCCAGGGCUGUAAAGCAUAUUCCUUCACCGCUUGCCCUGUGGCCUUCCUAAAUAGAAGCACAUGAAGCAAAACGCUUCCAAUGUUUUGUUCAAAUACUGCAAACGAAAUCUCAGCUGCAGUUAGCGGGAGUCGAAACCUGCGCGCUGGGCACAUUCGAGGCGGUGGUGCUGCUGUGGCCGGUCACACACCCGGGGGUGGCGGCAGGGCAGGCAUGAGCACACCCUGCGGGGGUGCUGGCCUGCCCGAAGCCCCUGUGGGCUCCUCAGGCUGCAGGCAGAGGAUGGGGAUGUGGGGCUCUGUUACCACAGCUGCUGUCCUGGCAAUGCCAAUGGGGGAGUUUGGAGACACGAGAGCACUGGGGCCUCAGGCGACGCAGCUGCCGCAGCAGCUCUGUGUCCAGCCACACAAGGGCUCUGCUCUCUGCCACGUCCGCCUCACACCCGGGUGCCAGCAGCACAGAGCACCUUCAGAGGCAGAGGAGUGCUUGGUUUCCUGCUCGCCGCCCACUCGCACUGUCUGCCUCUCAGCCAGAGUCAAGGAUCCAGCCCCCCGGGACUCACCUUCAGCCAGGAAUAACUUCUGACUUGGGGCAAUUUUAGUAGGUCACCAACGCCACUGACUUUUUCCUUUGGCAGUUAUGCUUUUCUUCCUCACCCUAUGAAAAUCAAGUUUUCAUUCAAACAUGAAUGUGCCUCUUGUAAGCCGAUCUGCAAUAUAAUUAUUUUCUCCCUUGCUCAGCAAACUUUGCGAAACUGGACAUUUUCCCCAUCGAAGCCAGACAAUGAGGCCUUGUCUACACUGGAGCACAGUAGUAACAAUUCCCACUGUGGCUGCCAUCAGUUCAGCUUGCCUGAUGGGAGCCGUUUAUUAAUUUUUUUUCCUGAAGACUAAGCUUCCCGGUUCAACUGUAUUGCCCCACAUGUCAGACCCACAUUUGUGGGGUGAGAUUUUUUUUUUGCCAUGGACAUUCAAAAGCUGAGAAAGCAAAUUCAAAGCUUUGCAAAAGCAGUCAUGAGCUGCAAGUCUGUUUGAGCCAUUUUUUAAAACCAAAUAGCCAUUGUAACCUAGAAGUGCAGACACUGGCUGGGGAGCAGGAGUUAAUUGUUGUUCCUGGAAAAGGUUUGCCAGCAUCUCCUUCUCCUGUCAGGCUUUUAUAGCCACCCACCUUAACAGAAGUUAAAACAUGAUCACAUCAGCUCCACACCCUUAAAAAUGUAUCAAAGUAACCAGAGCAGGAAAGUCGUACUGCUGUGUUAUCCAUCUCAUAUGUGGAAACCUUCACAUGCGUUUGAUGUUUGCUGAAGCUUGGCCCAUCUGAAGUUAUCCAGCCCCGUGACGUGUCCCCCACACCACCACCUCCCACACACCCCAAACCCAGCCAGCCCUCGCCAAGCCAGCGGCUGCCCCCACCCUGAAUCCGAGCGGCACGCAUGGGGCUCCCACCAGCCCCCAUCCGCUGCAGCGUCCUGCUCCCACGCAAGGGCUGCCCAGGCAGGGGCACCUUGUCCAGGCCUGCUGCCUUUCCGAGGCUGAGCGUACAAACGUGGCUCCAGCCCAGCCCCAAAGGGACACUAAUGGUUGACCAAAUCACGUUUUACUCUAGCUACGUAACGUUUCAUAGUAACAUCCAGGUCCAGCACUGCUCGAAAUAGAGCACAACAUUAGCUCACACCUUUUCUAAGCUCAGCGCUGCCUCUGCCUCAGGCUUAGGCAGGAGCAGACAAGGCUGCCUUAUCAAGAGCUGUGCCCCCAUGGGGCCAUGGGGGCCAAAGGCCCAUGGUUGAGGACAGCACAGCUUCACCCGUGCCAAGCAACAGCUCCUGCAGGAAGAGGCACCUUUAGCUGCUGUUUACACAAACAGCUCCAGCCUGCAUUGGAUACCAAAAGAAACCAGACACCUUGUCUCCACUGAGGUUUUUCCUUCCGGAGAAAAGAAACUCAGCAAAAAUUCCAGGAUCCCUUCAAACAUUUUACUGCUGUUUUAAGACACCUUAGGCUGGAAUAUGUUUUGUGUAAAAGAGCACAUCUGGCAGGCCCUCAGCCAUGAAGAAGGCAGGGUGGGGUGAGCCAGAGGGAAGCAGAAGGAGGCAGAGGGAUGGGCGUGACACUGCUGCUUUCCAGAAGAGAAAACCCAGCACGUGCUUAGCAGUUGACUUGGUGCCAGAAGGAAGUGUAGCCACAGGCCUGGGCUUUGAGGUGCUGGGUGAGUGUAUCAUGAUAGGCCAGGGAGCAGGGCAGGAAGCAGAAGGGUCUAAGUCCCUUUUCCUUACACAGAGGAUGGGGCUCAGAGUUCCAGGUCAGAGCAGGCAGAAGGACUGGCAGAAGAAGGGGAGAAAGAGAAGCACCUGCCCCUAGGGCCAAGAGCAGCUUGUGCAGCUCCUGGAAGGGGGUCUGGCACACACUGUGAAGGCAGCAAGGGAUGGGUGCUGCAAGAGCUGGCAGCAGCUUCCCCAGUUGCUUCUGCAAACUACUGAGUCAGCUCCAACGCAGACCCCCUCUUCUCUCACUGCUGCAGGAAAUCCUGGCCAGGCACUGAAACAGGGGCUACGGUGGCACGUGCUGCUGCAACAGCCUUCAGCGACAGUGGUGUGCUGUCCUAAAAACAUCUGUAAAGCUCUUAUUGUCCUGCUAAUGGGCUUCUUGUUAAACAGAACAGUCAAGCUGCUGCUAUAAAUCAAACCAGCCUUGAUCAUACUUUCACACUGCAGAAGGUCCAGGGGAAGGUUGGGAGUCAUCAGUGGCACCUUGGAGGCAUAAAGAAUUUUAUAUCCUUGCAGCACUCAGUAGCCUCAGCUGCAAACUGGAGCCCAUUGCUCCUGUAAACUCUGCAGACCCACACGAGCCUACAGACCUUGCCCAGAGGCUUUGUGCCCACAAAGCCCCGGGCCUCGGAGAAGCCAGGGAAGAGCUGCACACCCACAGGUUUUGCUGCUCUGUUAGGGGCAGCCACAUCCCUGGCUGGGAUUCGGCCAGCGGGACAGACCAGGAAGAGCCGGGCAGGCUGUUUUAUACAGCUGUGUCUAAGGAGUUAAUCAGUGCUGAAAGCCUCUAAAAAUGGCACACAGCUUAUGUCUGGGUGUCUUUUUUUAGCUGCUAUUUAAUUGCCUGGUUUCAGCCCACGAGGCACAGCACGCUGCGGCACUUGCCAGGGGCACCGCUCUGCGCCACGUGGGGGAACUACAGGGAGCCCUUCGCUCGGCAGGAACGGGAAAGGAAGAAAAGGCAGCAGGAAAGCCUGUCCCUCCUCCUCGGACGGCAGGCUGGCAGAGAGACUGAGCCCUGCUCACACCCACAUAGCUGUGGCUGCCCCUUGAUGCACCCCCAUCACAUCCACGCCUAUCACAGGCAGGGAUCCUGCUCCGCCGGCAGCUACUCCCAUGCCGAGAGCUGAGACAGCUGGGCAAAGUGCUGCCUUUGGCUCAAGUCCCUCCAUUUCCAGCAUCCACCUUACAUUAGAGAGCCAGUGCCAACAGCUGUAACCUGCAGGAACCACAGUCCUGUAAUGCUGACAGCCCUACAAAAACCAGGGAACCCUCACAAGAGCGAGAUGAACCAGGCAAGUGACCGCCAUUGAAGCAAGCAGAGGUCUUUGCGCUUUGUGUCACAGCAACUCUGCCGCCAGCAAGAAACAGGGGACAGCGGGGACAUUCCCAAAUUCACCAGCACCGGUCAGACACCACAGGCUGCUGGGCUGGAUGCAUUAUUGGAUUAGACAGACAAUAGCAGGGGUCCUGAAGGCCUCCCUGGCAUCGGGAUGUCGUGUGCCUGGAAGCCUGGGGCAAAGAUCUUCCCAGCUGCUUGAAACGCUGCACGGGAGCUUUGUGCUGGCACCUGUGAGGCCCAGGUGGCUGGUCAGGAGGACACACUGAGGCUUUCCUCUUCAUCAGCAAAGACCUAGACAAGUGGAGACUAAAUCCUUCUAGGGGUAGAAGUCUAUUAACAGAAUGAAGAGAUGGACACCUCCAGAAGAGCUCUCACCUGCCAGAUGCCUCCAGCUCCAGAGACACAAGAUGGACAACUAAAGUGUGAGCUGAGGCAAUAGAAAAUCCAGAUGAACAAAAACAGCCAAGUACACCGUGGUGUAACGAUGCCUUCUUGGUCUGCAGCAGCAGCUAAAAGGGCAAAUAGAUGAGGCACUGAGCUCAAGUGACAACAAAUGGCACUACAAUUCCUUCAUUACCCCAAAUGACAGUUAUUCAUUUAGAUUCCAUUCAUAGCCAAUUACGGACAAACUGGUCCUGAACAUUUUUGGAUUGCAUUUAUAGACUCAGAUCUGGCUGUAGCAUCAGUUACUGCACAGGCUCCCUGUAACUCUUCAUUGUCAACAGUUUAUUUGUACCACCAUCUGCUUCUCCAAGAACACGACAAGUAUGCUGGAAAACACAGAUCCCCAGCACAGAUUGUUGGCCUCUAUUGGAAAGUUCUUUCCAUUGCAAGCCUGACUGGAUAUGGACUUCAUGUUUAUAUUUCUUUCUAUUCCAAGAAGUAACUUUAGCCCUUAAAAUAAGGAGUAAUAGGAUGAGGCCUUGCUGAAGGGUUUAAUAAGAAAUUUCAGAAAAUAUGUUGACUGUGUCAACCAUUUUU